rnacentral:rRNA from 1 species
UACGUAGGGUGCGAGCGUUAAUCGGAAUUACUGGGCGUAAAGCGUGCGCAGGCGGUUCGCCAGUCAGGUGUGAAAUCCCCGGGCUUAACCUGGGAAUUGCGCUUGAAACUAGCGGGCUUGAGUGUGGCAGAGGGGGGUGGAAUUCCACGUGUAGCAGUGAAAUGCGUAGAGAUGUGGAGGAACACCGAUGGCGAAGGCAGCCCCCUGGGUCAACACUGACGCUCAUGCACGAAAGCGUGGGGAGCAAACAGG